GAUGAACGCUAGCUACAGGCUUAACACAUGCAAGUCGAGGGGAAACGAUAGAGAAAGCUUGCUUUUUCUAGGCGUCGACCGGCGCACGGGUGAGCAACGCGUAUCCAACCUGCCCACCACUUGGGGAUAACCUUGCGAAAGUAAGACUAAUACCCAAUGACAUCUCUAGAAGACAUCUGAAGGAGAUUAAAGAUUUAUCGGUGAUGGAUGGGGAUGCGUCUGAUUAGCUUGUUGGCGGGGUAACGGCCCACCAAGGCGACGAUCAGUAGGGGUUCGGAGAGGAAGGUCCCCCACAUUGGAACUGAGACACGGUCCAAACUCCUACGGGAGGCAGCAGUGAGGAAUAUUGGUCAAUGGGCGAGAGCCUGAACCAGCCAAGUAGCGUGCAGGAUGACGGCCCUAUGGGCUGUAAACUGCUUUUAUAAGGGAAUAAAGUGAGCCUCGUGAGGCUUUUUGCAUGUACCUUAUGAAUAAGGACCGGCUAAUUCCGUGCCAGCAGCCGCCGUAA
rnacentral:rRNA from 1 species